GCUGGGCACGGUGGCAGGUGCCUGUAAUCCCAGCUACUUGGGAGGCUGAGGCAAGAGAAUGGCUUGAACCCAGGAGGUGGAGGUUGCAGUGAGCCGAGAUCACACCACUGCACUCCAGCCUGGGUAACAGAGCCAGACUCUGUCUCAA
ensembl:misc_RNA Metazoa_SRP Metazoan signal recognition particle RNA